rnacentral:lncRNA from 1 species
CCCUCCCGCCUCUCCGCGCUCUCAGGGGGAACUCGGGAGAGCUGCCGUCCCUGACCUCGACCUGAGACGUGGAGGAGGGACAGGGAAAAAGCCUUCUUCUCGCAGCUGCAGGUUGCCCCACCGAGGGCAUUUUUCCGCACCGAGGGGGCGGGGGGCAGAAUGCACGCCAGAAAACCUAAGUGCGCUGGGUUUAAAAUAGCAACAACAACAAAAAUUACAAAUAACCAAAAAACAGCAUAAGAAUUAAAAACAGUUAUAUUCCAAUGUUUUUAAUACUUGGUUCACAUUUUGGAUGCUCUCCCCAGGGAUCCGACGGCGCUGCGGAGGCGGCAGCGAUGUUUGGGAUCCUAAAGAAAGCAUCAGACCAGACUCAGGUCUGGACGUCCCUCAAGUGGCCCGGAGGUACCGAUAUUAGUGUCACCGCCGUCAGUGCCCUGCCCAGAAAUAAAACCUUUGUUCUGAGAGAAAUUGAAAAGCUGGAAAAUAUGGAGUAGGCGAUGUGAAGAGAAACUACAGGGAAUGUAGAGGUCGGGUUUUAAAUGCGUAUUUCCUCAAGGAUGUUGUGGAAGCAGAGACAAGGUGGCUGGCCUGGAGCAGGCUGGAGGACCUCCAAGGAUCUCCACAGGGAGGCAGUUACAUUUAACACCCUACCUAGCAAAAGAAGAAAAGAACAACCCCAUGAAAACAUCCCUGGGGUUUUAACAAAGGAAUCCCUGACAAAACGUGACUGAUAACUAGGACAGAACUGAAAAGUGGAAGUAAAGUCAAUCCCGACCCCCCAGGACGCCUGGGAACUCAGGGAAGCGCCUCCAGAAGGGAACAGCUCAGAAACCCUGACCAGACCUGGCGGACAAGAACCGUGUGGGCGGGGGACAGGAACGCCCACCCAGAGGCCGGGAGAGCAUGGUCCAGGACUGGCAGCCACUAACAGCCUCUGAAUGAAACUGAGGAAGGAAGUCAAUGGUAAUCGGGACCAUUAGGGUGCACCAGGGCAUAUAGAACAGUCGGGGACGGUAAGAAAACAUUCCUUCCAGAGACAUUCACUGGCACCUCCCGCGCAGACACACUGCCAGGCCCGGGAAUCGCAGAGAUGAACUGGGAGACUUGUCUGCCCUGGAGAACUCACAGGUAGGAAAAUGAGGCAGAAAAGAGCCGUAGGCUUCCUAACAGGAGCCCACGCAGGGGGGCAGUGAGCAGAGAGCAAUGCGCAGACCGCGUGGUCAGUUCUUGGGGGGAGGGAAUUGAGAAAGUCCCACAGAACAGCUGUUGCUAGAUCAGUACUUGAAUAUGAGUUUGACAGGAGGUCAAGUAGGGGAGGUCAUGUCUGGUAAAUGGAUGAGCACAGAUGACCUUGUGGUUUAGAGCAGCCUCUGGUGGCUGACAGCCCCAAAUGGAAUCCUGCAACUGCUGCUAAUUAGCUGUGUGAUCUUGACCUUGGGCAAGAUACCAAUCUCAAUGAGCCUCAGUUUACUCAACUAUAAAAUUAGGAUAAUCGUAGUGCCUCCCUUGUAGGAACUAUCAAGAGCAUACUGUAGUAAGUACUUAGAACACAAAGUAAGUACUCAGUGAACAUCAGCCAUUAUUAUUAAAUGUUCAAAAACUUCUGAAAGGGUUCACACACGCUCACCCAUGUUUUAAACAUUAUUCAGCUCUGAUCUGCCAAAUAUUAAAUAUGAAAGAAGCACGGAGAGGGAUAUGAAAGUCAUUGGGAAGGCAUGGGAGGGUACUAUGAGGUACUGUGUUUCUAUUAUCUCUCUCCCACCUCCGAAGCUCCUGCCUGUGCCAUUACCCAAGUCAAACAGAAGCCAAUAGGAGGCAAGGGGUCACAGGCUGCAGUCUGCGGCAGUCAGCCUCCCAGACACACAACAAGGUGGAGGAGGGUGAAGAGGGGAUCUGGAGGAGCGGGUGGAGAAAAUCCGGCAGAGCCCUACCCACUUCCCGCUGUUGCUCAUCUCUACGUUCUCAUCACCCUUGAUGGUGUUACAGGUUGACUUAUGUCUCCCCAAAUUCAUAUGUUGAGGUCCUAACUCCCAGCAACUCAGAAUGUGACCUUAUCUGAAAAAAGGAUGAUUACAGAUGUAAUUAGUUAAGAUCAGGUUAUUAGGGUGGCCCCUAAUCCAUAAUGACUGGUGUCCUUAUAAAAAGAGGAAAUUUGGGAAGACAAAUCCACAGGGAGAACACCAUGAGAAGAUUAGAGUUGUGCUGCUACAAGCCAAAGAACUGCCAGAAGCCGGGAGAGGGGCCUGAAAUAGAUCCUUCCCUGCCGACAACCUUGAUCUCAGAUGUCUAGCUCCCAGAACUGGGAGAUAAUACAUUUCUGUUGUUUAAGCUACCUCCCUUCUCGUACUUUGUUACAGCUGUCCUAGCAAAUUAAUCCAGUUGCCUCUGUAAUCCUGCCCACAGCUGUUGAGCAGCAAAUCUCUUCAACCUUUCGGAGAUGGACUGCAUUUCCUACCAAGACCCUGGCUGAUAGCAGAGUGACCCCAGGAAACACAGUUCCUCAAUUGUGGGAUUCUGGCUGGGUUACCCACAGAUUCGUGCGUGCAUAGCGAACAAAAGGGAUGCUAGUAACCCGUGGCAUGGAGGGGCAGCAGGAUUACUCCAGUUAGCACUGGGAAUAGUGUGAGGGGCAUAUGGACCACAAAGCUUUGGGGGCUUUUGCUGCUGUUGCUCUUGAUUGCUAUGGCAACAGUAAUAAUUAUAAAGAUUGUAGAGUGAAAUGGAUGUUUCUGACUGCCCUGGAGAGUUUUUAAACAAUGGAAGAGAUAAACAUGAAGUAUUAAAUUCUUAUUUUAAGGUACAGAUAUGCUGAAAUCCAAAGAACCAUUUAUCUGGGAUAGGCACAGGACAGAAUAAGUUCAUCUUCAGAUACUAAAUAUAAUUGUACAGAUUACAGAAUUGUGGCAAAGGUUAAGUGCUCAACCUCAGCAAGUUCUCUUGCUAAGAUUAGGACACUGAUUGGGAAGGAGUAGGACCAUAGACUUGUGAUAGGAACAUUUGGACAGACACAGACAAAGCCGAAUUCCCAAAUCUCAAGGCUCCCUUGUAUACAGAAGCAGCCCCGCCUCCCCUGUGCAAGGAAAUUAGCCUUCACAUACACUAAGAGCUUUCAAGACUUCACUGGGGCCUCUGCCUCCCACAUGGAUGCCUGUUCUCCUCCAAACUUGCCCCUGAUGCACCUCAUUGACUCCAGGAGCAUAACAAGAAUAAACUCUCUACAGAGCCCAGAAGGAGAAAUGCAAGGUCAGCCAGAGAAGAGGAGGAUGGAAAUAGAUUAUAUACCACGAAAGCUGGAAAAUCUUGCCAAUAUGUGUUGCAGAGAAGCUGAGAACUGUGUAUGGGAAUGGAUUCUAAAGUGUUAGACUAAGGAGGAUGAAAUACUAGGUUAGGCCAGGCAUGGUGGCUCACACCUAUAUUCCCAGCACUUUGGAAGGCAGAGACAGGAGGAUAGCUUGAGGCCAGGAGUUCAGGACCAGCCUCGGCAACGCGGUGAGACACCGUCUCUACAAAAAAUGUAAAAAUUAGCCACGUGUGGUGGUGCACGCGUGCCUCUGGUCCCAGCUGCUCAAAGGCUGAGGUGGGAGGAUCAUUUGAACCUAGGAGGUCAAGGCUGCAGAGACCUAUAAUGGCACCAUUGCACUUCAGCCUGGUGACAGAGCAAGACCCUGUCUCGAAUAAAAUAUAAAGUAAGAUUCAGCAAAAUUUAUGAAUAUGCAUACAUUCCCCUGGGAUUUAUGAUUUAGUGUGUUAUAUAUUGGAGUGAUUAAAAUGUUUUAGACAACGUGGUGAUGUUUCUUUUCUUUUUUUUUUUUAAUUGCGAUGGAGUCUCGUUCUGUUGCCCAGGCUGGAGUGUGGUGGCAUGAUCUCUGCUCACUGCAACCUCCACCUCCCAGGUUCUCGUGCCUCAGCCUCCUGAGUAGCUGAGACUACAGGCGCACUGCACCACGCCCGGCUAAUUUUUUUGUAUUUUUAGUAGAGAUGGAGUUUUGCCAUGUUGGUGAGAAUGGUCUCAAACUCCUAACCUCAGGUGAUCCACCUGCCUCCGCCUCCCAAAGUUCUGGGAUUACAGGUGUGAGCCACUGCACCCAGCGAUGUUUCUUAAUAUACUAUGAAUAUACAGAAAACGCUGAAUACUUUAUUUUUUUUUUAUUUAUUUUUUGUGAGAUGGAGUCUCGCUCUUGUCGCCCAGGCUGGAGUGCAGUGGCGCGAUCUCAGCUCACUGCAACCUCCACCUCCCGGGUUCAAGUGAUUCUCCUGUCUCAGCCUCCUGAGUAGCUGGGAUUACAGGCAUAUGCCACCAUGCCCGGCUAAUUUUUGUAUUUUUAGUAGAGAUGGGGUUUCGCCAUGUUGACCAGGCUGGUCUUGAACUCCUGACCUCAGGUGAUCUGCCCACUUUGGCCUCCCAAAGCGCUGGGAUUACAGGCUUGAGCCACCGCACCCGCCCCACGCUGAAUAGUUUAAAAGGUAAUUUGUGGAAAACAGAUCAUAAUGCACAUGACUCUUGUC